rnacentral:rRNA from 1 species
UACGAAGGGGGCUAGCGUUGUUCGGAAUCACUGGGCGUAAAGGGCGCGUAGGCGGCCGUUCAAGUCGGGGGUGAAAGCCUGUGGCUCAACCACAGAAUUGCCUUCGAUACUGGACGGCUCGAGACCGGAAGAGGUCAGUGGAACUGCGAGUGUAGAGGUGAAAUUCGUAGAUAUUCGCAAGAACACCAGUGGUGAAGGCGGCUGACUGGUCCGGUUCUGACGCUGAGGCGCGAAAGCGUGGGGAGCAAACAGG